UUUUCAGUUUUGUUUCGGUCUCAGCGGAGUAACAACUCUGUAAUAAUUUCGAGUAAAAAUGUUCUUAUAAAAAUGUUUUUAGUACAAAUUUGCUGUGAAACUUUUUAAUACAUGUUCAAGUACUGAGCGCUUUUGCUCAUAAUUGUGGGCUUACACAAAAUAUUGCAAAAUUGGUAAAUGGAAGUUCGCCAGCUCCGUUUGAUUGCUUUCAAGGAAUCAAAAACACAGAAUGUCGUCGUGAUUUGUGACUUCGUCACAUUACAAAUUACAACAAGGAUUACUCUUGAGAAACUGACAAGCACCACACGCUGCAUUCCACUGCACACGAAUACAAGAUGAGUAUCUACGAUUGGGAAACCCAAGAAGUUUGAACCUCAAAUGACUUGUAUCUUGCAGAUAGAUCGCGUAUCCACGGGAUACUGGGAGCUGAGCGAUUCCAUUCCGAUUUUGUAGCGCUUCAGCACGAUGAGUUUUGAAUACCUCGAAUUAUAUUAUCAUAUUGGUAACACCAUUUUCCACACUAACCAAAAAGUAAGACAUUAAAUAAAGUUAUAUAGAAUACACUUAAA